GUCUUGAUGGUCUAGUGGUAUGAUUCUCGCUUAGGGUUCACCCAAAAGCAUUAGACUUGCGAGAGGUCCCGCGUUCGACUCGCGGUCAAGACC